GAGGAUGUAGCUCAGUGGUAGAGUGCUUGCCUAGCAUGCACAAGGCACUGGGUUUGAGCCUCAGCACCACA
rnacentral:tRNA from 1 species